UGUUUCUAGUCAAAAUAAUGAUUUACAGAACAAGCCUAACAGUACAUAUAACCCUGAAGGCAUCACCUGUAUGAAGCAGGUGCUGUGGGGGAGCUUGUCAUCCGCAGGGACAGAAAACUGAUCAGAUGAGAAGAUGAAUGGAGAUGAAUACAAGGCAAUCCUGAGAGAAAACAUUAAAACCUGCAAAAGACAUGAGCCUGAGGUGGAGAUUAAUCUUACAGCAGGGCAAUAAUCCUAAACAUAAAGCCAGGCAAACAAUGGAACGGUUUAGAUCAAAGUGCAUUCAUGUGGUAAGAAUGGAGCAAUCACAGUAAAGGAAAUGCAGUAAAGUUUGAAGUUGUAAUGUCACAAAAUUUGAAAAAAAAAAAAAGAAACUUGAAAAAUUUGGUUAAUUUUCGAGGUACUAUGUUUCAGGAAUACAAACAUGAACUAUUAGCUGAACUAAAGCUAACAUAAGGUCCAACUCCAAAUGUUGAAAGUAGAAGGGCAUGACGAGAGAAUACAAGAAAUACACAUGAAACAGGUUUGCUGUGUCCUGAAAUCUACACCUGAGGUCAGCUUCUAGCAGCAGUCACUUUCCAGCUCCGCUUCCCCUCUGCACAGGAAACCGAGUGUCUGCAGACGCAUUGCACGAAAGCUGAUCUGUCACCCUGUAGACCUGAAGGGGAUCACAUAACGCGCACACACACACACACACAAACACUGCUUUCAUAGUCUCCUAAGGGCAGAUCAAUUCAAACAGCAAAUUUUUCUUUUCAUACCUCAACAAUUUUCUGAUGACCUCUGCUUUCACUGCAGCUUCAUCAGGAACAGAAACAUUAAGCAAAAAGUCCCUGCUGUCAGACUUCAUACCAGCACAAGUUAUCUCACUUUUCACUGUCUAUCGAUCACUAACACCAUGGUUCAACUCCUUCACCUAGGAUGAGUCAGUGAAAAAGAAAAGAAAGAAAAUACACACGCAAUCAUCAAGAUCAAGUUGAGCUAGUUUCUUCUUGUGCGUCUUCAUGGGAACUUACUCAGAAUGUUCAAGUCUCCCUUUUCUCAGACAGAUUUUGAUUCCUUCAUUAUUUGCAGGUUGUAGAAAAAUGUAGCAGCUCAUUUAACAAGAGCGAGAACAUCUGAUCAUACCUGUGGGUUUCUGUUUGCGAGAAACCCACAGGUUUGUGGGUAAACCUGUGGGUUUUAAAGAGAAAUUCCACUACAUAUGUUUGUGUUUGCUCAUUUUCAGCUUUAAAAACCAAGAAUAAAGCAUCACAGCUUCCAAUAUAUAAAUAUGCAAAAUUGUAAUGUUUUGUGCAGCUGACCCUGCAGAAUUCAUGUGACUGAAUCCAAACCUUUGUACAACAGUUAGCUUGAUUAGUGAUGCUAAUCUCAUGAUUGUGGUUAGGGUUUUGUUCCCCAUUCUUAUUGUCUUUUGAGUUUUGACCUUUGAAUCUUUUAUAUUUAACCUUCAUUUCCUGAAACAGUUUUGUUCUUCUGUUUCCUGCUUAGCCUGACUGACUCAAAAACAUUUUGUUUGGUGGAACAAAGAAAUUACCCUGAAUCUGAGCGGCAGCUGCAAUAUAACCAGUUUGAAUUAUUUAAAGGUGAAGGAGUGGAGCUUUAAUUCUUUCUUUAUUAUCUCCUUAAGCAUAUGAAACACUGAACUGACCUUAAUGAAAGAAAAGGGGAUUAUUUAAGCCAUAAUUCUUUGCAGCAGAAUUUAAACUAACUUUUGAAUAAUUUAAUAUAGCAUUCGCAACUGGGAUUCAUGCAAGAUAAAUAAGAGUGAAGUUUGGCAGCGAGUGAGAUCACCAUGACAACAGAAUAUUUCAUGGUUAAUGUGCUAUUGAAACCCACCUAUUACUUUUUGUCAUUCUUCAAUUUCUGUCAAAGAAAGGUGGACUCCAAUACAAACAUAAAGGGGAGAAAUGCCAGUGAUUUGCUUUGUGCUGAUUCCAAGUCCGGAUAAAUGCAGAGUAUUUUAUCAAGAAGGGAAUCCGAUGUUAAAAGCCUAAG